UUUUGUGCUUUUUUUUUUGU
rnacentral:miRNA from 1 species